GACGAACGCUGGCGGCGUGCCUAAUACAUGCAAGUAGAACGCUGAAGAGAGGAGCUUGCUCUUCUUGGAUGAGUUGCGAACGGGUGAGUAACGCGUAGGUAACCUGCCUGGUAGCGGGGGAUAACUAUUGGAAACGAUAGCUAAUACCGCAUGAAAUUGCUUAUCGCAUGAUAAUUAAUUGAAAGAUGCAAUUGCAUCACUACCAGAUGGACCUGCGUUGUAUUAGCUAGUUGGUGAGGUAACGGCUCACCAAGGCGACGGUACAUAGCCGACCUGAGAGGGUGAUCGGCCACACUGGGACUGAGACACGGCCCAGACUCCUACGGGAGGCAGCAGUAGGGAAUCUUCGGCAAUGGGGGGAACCCUGACCGAGCAACGCCGCGUGAGUGAAGAAGGUUUUCGGAUCGUAAAGCUCUGUUGUAAGAGAAGAACGGGUGUGAGAGUGGAAAGUUCACACUGUGACGGUAUCUUACCAGAAAGGGACGGCUAACUACGUGCCAGCAGCCGCGGUAAUACGUAGGUCCCGAGCGUUGUCCGGAUUUAUUGGGCGUAAAGCGAGCGCAGGCGGUUAGAUAAGUCUGAAGUUAAAGGCUGUGGCUUAACCAUAGUAUGCUUUGGAAACUGUUUAACUUGAGUGCAGAAGGGGAGAGUGGAAUUCCAUGUGUAGCGGUGAAAUGCGUAGAUAUAUGGAGGAACACCGGUGGCGAAAGCGGCUCUCUGGUCUGUAACUGACGCUGAGGCUCGAAAGCGUGGGGAGCAAACAGG
rnacentral:rRNA from 1 species